CCUACGGGAGGCAGCAGUGGGGAAUAUUGGGCAAUGGGCGCAAGCCUGACCCAGCAACGCCGCGUGAAGGAAGAAGGCUUUCGGGUUGUUAACUUCUUUUGUCAGGGACGAAACAAGUGACGGUAGCUGACGAAUAAGCCACGGCUAACUACGUGCCAGCAGCCGCGGUAAUACGUAGGUGGCAAGCGUUAUCCGGAUUUACUGGGUGUAAAGGGCGUGUAGGCGGGACUGCAAGUCAGAUGUGAAAACGACGGGCUCAACCUGUGGCCUGCAUUUGAAACUGUAGUUAUUGAGUACUGGAGAGGCAGACGGAAUUUCUAGUGUAGGGGUGAAAU
rnacentral:rRNA from 1 species